rnacentral:rRNA from 1 species
GUGCCAGCAGCCGCGGUAAAACGUAGGAGGCAAGCGUUAUCCGGAUUCACUGGGCGUAAAGCGCGUGCAGGUGGCGCGGUAAGUUGGAUGUGAAAUCUCCCGGCUCAACUGGGAGAGGUCAUUCAAUACUACCGUGCUUGAGAGCAGAAGAGGAAGAUGGAAUUCCCGGUGUAGUGGUGAAAUGCGUAGAUAUCGGGAGGAACACCAGUGGCGAAGGCGAUCUUCUGGUCUGUUUCUGACACUCAAACGCGACAGCUAGGGUAGUAAACGGGAUUAGAGACCCCGGUAAUCCUAGCCGUAAACGAUGUGAACUUGGCGUUGGUGGGUUAAACUCCAUCAGUGCCGUAGCAAACGCGAUAAGUUCACCGCCUGGGGACUACGGCCGCAAGGUUAAAACUCAAAUGAAUUGACGGGA